rnacentral:misc_RNA from 1 species
CCGAGUUCAUGCCCUCACGGGUAGAUCUCCCACCCUAUGUUAUCAUUACCUUUGUUGCUUUGGCGGGCCGUCAGGCCUCGGUCAGGCUACCGGCUCCGGCUGGUAAGCGCCCGCCAGAGGACCCAAAACUCUGAAUAUUAGUGUCGUCUGAGUACUAUGUAAUAGUUA